GAUGAAGAACGUAGCGAAAUGCGAUAAGUAAUGUGAAUUGCAGAAUCCAGUGAAUCAUCGAAUCUUUGAACGCACAUUGCGCCCGCCAGCAUUCUGGCGGGCAUGCCUGUUCGAGCGUCAUUUCAACCCUCGACCUCCCCUUGGGGAGGUCGGCGUUGGGGACCGGCAGCACACCGCCGGUCCUGAAAUGGAGUGGCGGCCCGUCUGCGGCGACCUCUGCGUAGUAAUACAGCUCGCACCGGAACCCCGACGCGGCCACGCCGUAAAACACCCAACUUCUGAACGUUGACCUCGAAUCAGGUAGGACUACCCGCUGAACUUAAGCAUAUCAAUAAGCGGAGGA
rnacentral:misc_RNA from 1 species